UACGUAGGGUCCGAGCGUUGUCCGGAAUUACUGGGCGUAAAGAGCUCGUAGGUGGUUUGUCGCGUUGUUCGUGAAAACUCACAGCUUAACUGUGGGCGUGCGGGCGAUACGGGCAGACUUGAGUACCGCAGGGGGAGACUGGAAUUCCUGGUGUAGCGGUGGAAUGCGCAGAUAUCAGGAGGAACACCGGUGGCGAAGGCGGGUCUCUGGGCAGUAACUGACGCUGAGGAGCGAAAGCGUGGGGAGCGAACAGG
rnacentral:rRNA from 1 species